rnacentral:rRNA from 1 species
AUGAUAGCAUUGCUAAUUGCACAUAUAUAUGAUGCAAUAUCGACUCAGUCGAAUAAAGUUCUGGGUAUAAUUAUGAUAAUGACAUUUAUUACCCAUGUGUCUUGACCAAAUUACGUGCCAGCAGUCGCGGUAAUACGUAGAAGACUAGUGUUAUUCAUCUUUAAUAGGUUUAAAGGGUACCUAGACGGUAGAUAAAGCCCCUGCAUAGCAUGACGGAACUAAUUUACUAGAGUUACUUACGCGGGGGUUUUAAAGUACUAAUGGUGUAGAGAUAAAAUUUUGUAAUACCAUUUUUCGAAAGAAAAGUAUUGGCACUGGUAAAGGCGAAAGCAUCCCCUUAUGUGAUAACUGACGUUGAAGGACGAAGG